rnacentral:tRNA from 2 species
GGGACGUUAGCUCAGUUGGUAGAGCAGCAGCCUUUUAAGCUGAUGGUCGCAGGUUCAAUCCCUGCACGUCCCACAA